GUCAGAGUAGUACAUGUACUCCUUGUACACAUAUAUUUUUUUUUGAUUCCUGACCCAGUGAAGUCAGUAAUAGUAUCCCAGUCACAGGUGAACAAAUGACACUCAUGUUUGCUCUGCUAGUCAAUGCACCUGCCCAAACGCCAUCUCUUCUGAGAGGCCUUGUAUUAUCCCUUCAGCCAUGACCUGCACAGCACAACUUGGGGGGAUACCCUUCACAGAGAUGACCAUGUGCAUCGUGAGCCCCACCCCUGGAAUUGUGUGGUUUGCUGGCUCUGGUGACAGCUCCCUCCUCCACGUUUUCAUGGUACCUGAGGUCUUUCUCAUAAUAGUUUUCACACCUUGCCUCACAUGCUAUAUGAAAAUCCUAUUUCCCCCACUAUAGUAUGAAUUCCUACACUGGAGAGAAAGUGCUUUCUUCAUCUUUGUCUCAUGUUAAACCCAUGCAGAGUGACCGUGGGACGGUAAUACACCCUGUCUGUUGUUUUUCUAGUUGGAGCCUCUGCAACAUGCAUUCUGUCAGCCGUCCUCUUCUUCACCUACAUUUCCUCCCCUCCGCAUUCACCUUGUAU